AUUGAACGCUGGCGGAAUGCUCUACACAUGCAAGUCGAGCGGCAGCACGGGGGCAACCCUGGUGGCGAGUGGCGAACGGGUGAGUAAUACAUCGGAACGUGCCCGGUCGUGGGGGAUAACGUAGCGAAAGUUACGCUAAUACCGCAUACGAUCUGAGGAUGAAAGCGGGGGACCUUCGGGCCUCGCGCGAUCGGAGCGGCCGAUGUCAGAUUAGGUAGUUGGUGGGGUAAAGGCCUACCAAGCCGACGAUCUGUAGCUGGUCUGAGAGGACGACCAGCCACACUGGGACUGAGACACGGCCCAGACUCCUACGGGAGGCAGCAGUGGGGAAUUUUGGACAAUGGGCGCAAGCCUGAUCCAGCCAUUCCGCGUGCAGGACGAAGGCCUUCGGGUUGUAAACUGCUUUUGUAUGGAACGAAAAGGCUCUGGCUAAUACCUGGGGCUCAUGACGGUACCGUAAGAAUAAGCACCGGCUAACUACGUG
rnacentral:rRNA from 1 species